GAGAGAGAGAGAGACAGAGAGAGACAGACAGAGAGACACAGAGAGAGAGACAGGCAUCCCAGAGGAAGAAGGUGGAAGCUUUGGGGCGGGGUCUGAGCAGACGGACCUCCUCUCUCAGCGGCGAGUAAGAUGGUGGAGGAGAGAGAGGCUGGGAGGCAACCACAGUCCGGCGGGGUAACGUUCCUCAAACUAAACCAAAAGAUCUUCUUACUAUGUGGCUCGAUAUUUGGAUCGUCGCUCUGCUUGUCAGGUGAUACCAUUUUGCAUUUCCACGAGCAGUGAAUGAGAGUUAGUGUUGCCCACAUCCUCACCAGCACUUGGCAUUGGCAGCGUUCUGGAUUUUGGCCAUUUUAAUAGAAGACAGUCGGCUCUUGGAGAAUGACAGUGGAUCAUCGUAAGCUUAACCAAGUGGCGACUCCAGUUGCAUCUGCUGUACCAGACUGCCUUUCACUUCUGCAGGAUACCACACUGGUCCAUUACAUGGAUGACAUUAUGCCCAUUGGAUCCACUGAGCAAGAAGUAGCAAACACACUGGACUUAUUGGUGAGACGUUUGUGUGCCAGAGGAUGGGAAAUAAAUCUGACUAACAUUCA